UCCUAGAUGACUGAGAUAUAAGUGUUAGAUUUUUAAUCUAAAAACGGCAAAAUUAAUAUGCCUCUAAGAA
rnacentral:tRNA from 1 species